AUGUUACUUGGUGUAGGUGUCUUUAGAUUCAUCUUUUUGGGGGAUCUUAUGGGCUUCCUGGAUCUGAAUUUCUGUUUCCUUUCCCAGGUUAGGGAAGGUUUCAGACAUCAUUUCAAGGCAUUGUUCCAUAUGCAGCUGUAGAUUUGGUGGUCUGUGGGAGAAAGUGAGCUCAGGAUCUUCCAAGGUCACCAUCUUGAUUCUUUGAGUUUUGCUAUGGCUCGAGUAUUAUUUUUAAAGCCAUAUCUUCAGUUUCUCAUUACAGUCUGGGGAUCACAGUAAUAACCCUUAAAUCAUAUGUUCUUGGAAUGGGAAAAGUUCUAGAAAUUGUCUAAUCCAACUUGCAUUCCUUCUGAGCACAAUAUGAAUAAUUUUGAUAAUAAAAUCUCAAUCAUUUGUCUCCA